GUUUGCAACGGUGCUCAUAUAUGUAUCUAAGAUCCACCUCCCCACGUCCUUCCUUUAUCCCGCCGCUCAUUGGCGUCCCCAUCCCAACUUCCCCGAUCCCUACCCCUCCAUUAGUCCACCUUAACCUAGAUAGCAGAGUUGCGGCCAGAUCGAAAGCGCCGCCACAAAUCAAGUCGUGGAAUAGACAUCCAUCUCCCUUCCUCCCCAUCUCCCCCUCGCAUCGCCCCUCUUUCUAUCAUAUUUUUGUUGCUUCUUGGAGACCUUACGAGGAGGCGACCAUGCGCUGAACGGUGCGGCGUCGCAGGUGUACAGGGCGGAGCAUAGAAGACACGGCGGACCAAGGGAUUCCUUUCUUGCCGCAUCGCAUACUGUUGGUCUGUGGUGACGGGUGAGAUUCCGAUGGGGAUAUUGGCUUGGUUCUGGGCGGACUCAGGAUGGUGCUGAUUACGGAUCUUGUCCUAGCAAUGGGGCGGCCAGGGCUAUUGGGAUUCGGCUUCGUGCUACCGCCAAGAUGUUCCUCACAACGUUUGAUGCCAUCCAUCUCACGGACAUCCUCACAGGUGCAUAAUUUUCUGGAUCGUUCUAUUAGUGCUUUGCUGUUAUGCACAGGUGAAUACCAAGGGUGACGAAAUUAUGCAGUCAAGGCAUCAAUUCUCACCUCACUCAUCCUCUGUUCCAAAUGUAGAGUGGGUCUGUUUUUUCAUCUCCACUGUGCUGACUAAUUAAUUAAGUGAUUAGGAACCACAAAAAAUGAUUAGUAUGGUUAUUAUUUGCCACUAAAAAUCUGUGCAUAUUUGGGUUAAUGACCUAUUUUGUCGUGCAGUUUUCAGAACCCAGACAUCUAUUUCUGAAGUUUGAAAAGAAAAGUAAAUGGAUUUUACUUCAGCAGAUUAGAAGAAAUUUGUAUGUGAAAUUGUACUGGCUGCGCACUUUUAUCUUAGAUUUUUGGCCAGGUAAAGAUAUAUGUUGGAUGUAGAACUUCACGGCUCUAUCUGAAGUUGUUGGGAGAACACAAAAUCUAGGUGUGCAAUCAGCGCUUAUCGACGAAAAUACACAAUGAGAAGUAUUUGGGAUGCUCAUAAAUGGCACCCAAAGGUCUAUUUGUGUAUUGUUCCUAGAAAUACAUGACUUGAAUAGUUCCCCUUUCAUUGAUCUGUACUUGGGAACAUACUGCUAGCGAUGUUAAUUUGAGUGAUUACAGGUGCAGUUAUGUUUCCUGCUGAUUACCCGCAAGAUUGACUAACAGUGUCAGUGAAACUCCAUCUAUAUCUGGGUUGGAUAUGAUGCUACUGAGGACGACACUUUGCAAAGAGGUAAAUGCAAACCAAUCACUAGUGCUUCAUGACAUUUUCAUUGUGUCAAUCUUGUUAAAUAAAGGUAUCUGACCUAUGUUAAUUGGAUUGUUCAUAUCUUUAACAUGGAUACUUAAUUGUUUUUCUGUAUUUAGAUCUGUGUGGUAAUGACUUGGCAUGUAGCUGGGAUGGGCUUUUUCAGAUGCACGGGAUGGCACAAAUUAACUUGCAUGACUUAACUUUGGUAUGCUACGUACUUAGGUUUUCGAAGAAAUUCCAAGCAGCAUGCGGAUGUGAGCUUUAAGGUCUGAUAAAAAUAAUUAACAUUACGCAUUUUCCUUCCAUUUUACAUGUGCAUACAUCAUGAAGAGCCUACGAACUGAGCUUACUAUUAUUAAAAUUGGCGUCUCUAUUCAAUUUAAUCUAUAUGUAGAUUAUUGUUGCUUUGCAUAGUUAAUAUAUAGAUAUGUAUUUUGACAUUUCAGAAUGGUGAGUAGUAGAGCAAGUAGGUCGUAGAAUUUACUAUCUCCUUUCCUACUGAUUUUUGUUUUGUUUUGCCACACAAGUUCUAAACUUGGAACUUUAUUUUUUCAGGUCCAAAAAAAGGAUUGCUACAUUCAGGUUCUACAUUAGAAGGCAGAAGAUUAGAAGGAAUAUUUAUGUUAGGAUUAGUUAGAAUAUGAUAUCCUGAUGCAAGAUUGUAAGAUGUGUACUGAUCUUAAGAUAAUUUUCAUGUAUGGAUAUGGUGAUUUCAAUAUUAAAUACAAUUGUUUAUGCA